UAAGGAAUAUUGGUCAAUGGAGGCAACUCUGAACCAGCCAUGCCGCGUGCAGGAAGACAGCCCUCUGGGUCGUAAACUGCUUUUAUUCGGGAAUAAACCUUAUUACGGUGUAAUAAGCUGAAUGUACCGAAGGAAUAAGGAUCGGCUAACUCCGUG
rnacentral:rRNA from 1 species